rnacentral:rRNA from 1 species
AUUGAACGCUGGCGGCAGGCCUAACACAUGCAAGUCGAGCGGUAGAGAGAAGCUUGCUUCUCUUGAGAGCGGCGGACGGGUGAGUAAUGCCUAGGAAUCUGCCUGGUAGUGGGGGAUAACGUUCGGAAACGAACGCUAAUACCGCAUACGUCCUACGGGAGAAAGCAGGGGACCUUCGGGCCUUGCGCUAUCAGAUGAGCCUAGGUCGGAUUAGCUAGUUGGUGAGGUAAUGGCUCACCGAGGCGACGAUCCGUAGCUGGUCUGAGAGGAUGAUCAGUCACACUGGAACUGAGACACGGUCCAGACUCCUACGGGAGGCAGCAGUGGGGAAUAUUGGACAAUGGGCGAAAGCCUGAUCCAGCCAUGCCGCGUGUGUGAAGAAGGUCUUCGGAUUGUAAAGCACUUUAAGUUGGGAGGAAGGGCAGUAAGUUAAUACCUUGCUGUUUUGACGUUACCAACAGAAUAAGCA